AUUUCUACCUUCUGCAUUCCCGAGUGGAACACGCCUCAAAUUCUGGCAACGAUGGAUCUAUAAUUGUAUACACAUAGAGCGUGCCAUUAGUGAUAUUCGUGUAAGUGUUCAAAAUGAAGGAAAUGAAGAAUGUAAUCGAUGGAAGAUCACUUGCUCAUCAGGUAUGUUGCGAUUAUGGUGUUAUCUGGUAAAAUUUAAAUAAUUUAUUCUUAUGUUAUCGAACUCUUCGCACUUCGUAAUACUACGUUUGUUUGUUUUUGCAUUAA